rnacentral:rRNA from 1 species
GUGGAUUAGAUACCCUAGUAGUCCACGCUGUAAACGAUGAACACUCGAUGUUGGCGAUACACAGUCAGCGUCUGAGCGAAAGUAUUAAGUGUUCCACCUGGGGAGUACGGUCGCAAGAUUGAAACUCAAAGGAAUUGACGGGGGCCCGCACAAGCGGAGGAGCAUGUGGUUUAAUUCGAUGAUACGCGAGGAACCUUACCUGGGCUCGAACGUAGGAGGACAGCUGCGGAAACGUGGUCUUCCCUCGGGACUUCCUACGAGGUGCUGCACGGUUGUCGACAACU